rnacentral:rRNA from 1 species
UACGUAGGGGGCAAGCGUUGUCCAGAUUUAUUGGGCGUAAAGAGCGUGUAGGCGGCCAUACAGGUCAGCUGUGAAAACUCGAGGCUCAACCUCGAGACGUCGGUUGAAACCGUAUGGCUAGAGUCCGGAAGAGGAGAGUGGAAUUCCCGGUGUAGCGGUGAAAUGCGCAGAGAUGCGGAGGAACACCAGUGGCGAAAGCGGCUUUCUGGUCCUUAACUGACGCUGAGGCGCGAAAGCAUGGGGAGCGAACGGG